UAGGGAAUCUUCCACAAUGGGCGCAAGCCUGAUCCAGCCAUGCCGCGUGUCUGAAGAAGGCCUUCGGGUUGUAAAGGACUUUUGUCCGGGAGCAAAUGCCGGUGGCUAAUAUCCACUGGAGCUGAGAGUACCGGAAGAAUAAGCACCGGCUAAUUACGUGC
rnacentral:rRNA from 1 species